GGAAGGUGCAAGCGUUAAUCGGAAUUACUGGGCGUAAAGCGCGCGUAGGCGGCUAGAUAAGUCGGGUGUGAAAGCCCCCGGCUCAACCUGGGAACUGCAUUCGAUACUGUCUGGCUAGAGUGUGAUAGAGGGAGGCGGAAUUCCGCAUGUAGCGGUGAAAUGCGUAGAGAUGCGGAGGAACACCAAUGGCGAAGGCAGCCUCCUGGAUUAACACUGACGCUGAGGUGCGAAAGCGUGGGGGGAGCAAACAGGAUUAGAUACCCUGGUAGUCCACGCCCGUAAACCGAUGUCAACUAGCCGUUGGGAGCAAUUUGGCUCUUGGUGGCGCAGCUAACGCGAUAAGUUGACCGCCUGGGGAGUACGGUCGCAAGAUUA
rnacentral:rRNA from 1 species